rnacentral:rRNA from 2 species
UCCUGGUGAUUUAGUGUUAUGUGAACCACCUGUUCCCAUUUCGAACACAGAAGUGAAAGCAUAACGCCUCGAUGAUAUUGGACCUUGAGUCCGAGAAAGUAGAGUUUGCCAGGAC